rnacentral:rRNA from 1 species
AGUGAACGCUGGCGGCGUGCUUAACACAUGCAAGUCGAACGAGAACGGAAUAUAGCUUGCUAUAUUUGUCAGCUAAGUGGCGCACGGGUGAGUAAUGUAUAGAUAACCUGCCCUUAAGAAAGGAAUAACAGUUGGAAACGACUGCUAAUGCCCUAUAUGCCUUUAAUAAAUAAGUAUGCAAGGGAAACGCUUUAGUGCUUAAGGAUGGGUCUGUAUGGUAUCAGCUUGUUGGUGAGGUAAUGGCUCACCAAGGCUAUGACGCCUAACUGGUUUGAGAGGAUGAUUGGUCACACUUGAACUGAGACGCGGACCAGACUCCUACGGGAGGCAGCAGUGGGGAAUAUUGCACAAUGGACGAAAGUCUGAUGCAGCAACGCCGCGUGGAGGAUGACACAUUUCAGUGCGUAAACUCCUUUUAUAUAGGAAGAUGAUGACGGUACUAUAUGAAUAAGCACCGGCUAACUCCGUGCCAGCCGCCGCCGUAA